rfam:Picea glauca, whole genome shotgun sequence.
AGGUGCGAUCAUACCAGCGUUAAUGCACCAGAUCCCAUCAGAACUCCAUAGCUAA